rnacentral:lncRNA from 1 species
UGGAGGCCCGACGUGGAUGGUGACCUCCCGAGCUCAAUGAUCGAGAAAGGUGGUGGCUAGAUGGAGGAGAUGGUGGAGGAGAGGCCGACCAAACAAUUCCAGCGGCCGGGGUGCGCGCACGGCUAGGGCACCAAGGAGCUAAUGACGACUAGGGCGGCCUAGGGUUAGCUGGGGUGGAUUAGGGUUAGGGUUUCAUGUGGGAAACCCUAACACUACUUUUAUACAUUGAGUGUAUAAUUACAGAAAAGCCCUCCAGAGUCAAUUAUUUUCA